rfam:Dichanthelium oligosanthes cultivar Kellogg 1175 unplaced genomic scaffold Do_version_2_scaffold1002, whole genome shotgun sequence.
UGGUUUUGUUUGAAGUCAAACUUUCUUAAGUUUGACCAAAUUUAUAUAAAAGAUUAUCAAUUUUUAUGAUACCAAAUAAACAUACUAUAAAAAUAUAUUUUAUUAUGAAUCUAAUGAUACUUAUUUGGUUUCAUAAAAAAUAAUAAUUUUUUGUAUAACUUUGGUCAAACUUAAGAAAGUUUGACUUCAGACAAAACCAA